UACGUAGGGUGCAAGCGUUGUUCGGAAUCAUUGGGCGUAAAGCGCAUGUAGGCGGUUUGUUAAGUCGAGUGUGAAAUCCCUGGGCUCAACCGAGGAAGUGCAUUCGAAACUAACUGGCUAGAAGACGGUAGAGGAAGGUGGAAUUCCAAGUGUAGAGGUGAAAUUCGUAGAUAUUUGGAGGAAUACCGGUGGCGAAGGCGGCCUUCUGGACCGAUCUUGACGCUGAGACGCGAAAGCGUGGGGAGCAAACAGG
rnacentral:rRNA from 1 species